rnacentral:rRNA from 1 species
GUGGGGAAUUGUUCGCAAUGGGCGAAAGCCUGACGACGCAACGCCGCGUGGAGGAUGAAGACCUUCGGGUCGUAAACUCCUUUCGACCGAGAAGAAUGGCUCUCGACCUAAUACGUCGAGAGCAUGACGGUACCGAGGGAAGAAGCCCCGGCUAACUCUGUGCCAGCAGCCGCGGUAAUACAGGGGGGGCAAGCGUUGUUCGGAAUUACUGGGCGUAAAGGGUUCGUAGGUGGCCAACUAAGUCAGACGUGAAAUCCCUCAGCUUAACUGAGGAACUGCGUCUGAUACUGAUUGGCUCGAGUGCAGGAGAGGAACGCGGAAUUCCAGGUGUAGCGGUGAAAUGCGUAGAUAUCUGGAGGAACACCGGUGGCGAAGGCGGCGUUCUGGACUGUAACUGACACUGAGGAACGAAAGCCAGGGGAGCAAACGGGAUUAGAAACCCGAGUAGUCC